rnacentral:rRNA from 1 species
CGGGGGACGGACUGCGAACGGUUCCUUCGGGGGCCAUCCCCGGGCGUCGAACACCCAACUCACAAUUGGUAUAGACAAGGGGAAUCCGAUUGUUUAAUUAAAACAAAGCAUUGCGAUGGUCCGAACGGAUAUUUAUGCAAUGUGAUUUCUGCCCUAUGCUAUAAAUGUCAAAGUGAAGAAAUUCAACAAAACACGGGUAAACGGCGGGAGUAACUAUGACUCUCUUAAGGUACCCAAAUGCCUCGUCGUCUAAAUAGUGAUGCGCAUGAAUGGAUUAACGAGAUUCCUUCUGUUCCUGUCUACUAUCCAGCGAAACUACAGCCAAUGGAACGGGCUUGGCAGAAUCAGCAGGGAAAGAAGACCUUGUUGAGCUUUACUCUAGUCCGACUUUGUGAAAUGACUUGAGAGGUGUAGUAUAAUUGGGAUCCAAAAGGCGAAACUGAAAUACCACUACUUUUAACGUUAUUUUACUUAUUCCGUGGCCCCUCUUUUUAUACCGAAGGCUCGCUUCGCGGGAUGAUCUUGGAGGAAGACAUUGUCAGGUGGGAAGCUUGGCUGGGGCGGCACAUCUGUUAAAAGAUAACGCAGGUGUCCUAUGAUGAGCUCAACGAGAAUAGAAAUCUCGUGUGGAAUAGAAGGGUAAAAGGUCGUUUGAUUCUGAUUUCCAGUACGAAUAUGAACCGUGAAAGCGUGGCCUAAUGAUCCUUUAGACCUUCGGAAUUCGAAGCUAGAGGUGUCAAAAAAGUUACCACAAGGAUAACUGGCUUGUGGAAGCUAAGCGUUCAUAGCGACGUUACUUUUUGAUCCUUCGAUAUCGGCUCUUCCUAUCAUUGUGAAGCAGAAAUCACCAAGUGUUGGAUUGUUCACCCACCAAUAGGAAACGUGAGCUGGGUUUAGCUCGUCGUGAGACAAGUUUGUUUUACCCUUCUGAUGACAGUGUCGCAAUAGUAAUUCAACCUAGUACGAGAGGAACCGUUGAUUCACACAAUUGGCCAUCACGCUUGGUUUAAAAUCCAAUGGUGCGAAGCUACCGUGUGCCGGAUUAUGACUGAAUGCUCUAAGUCAUAAUCUGGGCUAGAAGCGACGCAUGAGCCUGCCGUCCGCUUGC